AGAGUUUGAUCCUGGCUCAGGACGAACGCUGGCGGCGUGCUUAACACAUGCAAGUGGAGCAACGAACCGGGCUUCGGCCCGGGGCAAAGCCGCGAACGGGUGAGUAACACGUGGGUAACCUGCCCCGAUGACUGGGACAACCCGAGGAAACUCGGGCUAAUACCGGAUGUGCUCUCUUCACGUCAGUGAAGUGAGUAAAGGUAGCUUCGGCCUCCGCAUCGGGAUGGGCCCGCGGCCCAUUAGCUUGUUGGUGAGGUAACGGCUCACCAAGGCCGCGAUGGGUAGCUGGUCUGAGAGGACGAUCAGCCACACUGGAACUGAGACACGGCCCAGACUCCUACGGGAGGCAGCAGUGGGGAAUCUUGCGCAAUGCGCGAAAGCGUGACGCAGCAACGCCGCGUGGGUGAAGAAGGCCUUCGGGUUGUAAAGCCCUUUCAGGAGGGACGAAGGUUCGGUCGUUAAUAGCGGUCCGGACUGACGGUACCUUCACAAGAAGCCCCGGCUAACUACGUGCCAGCAGCCGCGGUAAUACGUAGGGGGCAAGCGUUGUCCGGAAUCAUUGGGCGUAAAGAGCGCGUAGGCGGUCCGGUAAGUCCGCUCUGAAAGUCCGGGGCUCAACCCCGGGAGGCGGGCGGAUACUGUCGGGCUAGAGUCCGGAAGAGGCGAGUGGAAUUCCUGGUGUAGCGGUGAAAUGCGCAGAUAUCAGGAGGAACACCGAUGGCGAAGGCAGCUCGCUGGGACGGUACUGACGCUGAGGCGCGAAAGCGUGGGGAGCAAACAGGAUUAGAUACCCUGGUAGUCCACGCCGUAAACGAUGGGCACUAGGUGUGGGAGGUGUCGACUCCUCCCGUGCCGCAGCUAACGCAUUAAGUGCCCCGCCUGGGGAGUACGGCCGCAAGGCUAAAACUCA
rnacentral:rRNA from 1 species